rnacentral:rRNA from 1 species
CAAGUCGAACGGCAGACGGGGGCAACCCUGGUGGCGAGUGGCGAACGGGUGAGUAAUACAUCGGAACGUGUCCUGUAGUGGGGGAUAGCCCGGCGAAAGCCGGAUUAAUACCGCAUACGAUCUGUGGAUGAAAGCGGGGGAUCCUUCGGGACCUCGCGCUACAGGGGCGGCCGAUGGCAGAUUAGCUAGUUGGUGGGGUAAAGGCCUACCAAGGCGACGAUCUGUAGCUGGUCUGAGAGGACGACCAGCCACACUGGGACUGAGACACGGCCCAGACUCCUACGGGAGGCAGCAGUGGGGAAUUUUGGACAAUGGGCGAAAGCCUGAUCCAGCAAUGCCGCGUGUGUGAAGAAGGCCUUCGGGUUGUAAAGCACUUUUGUCCGGAAAGAAAACCUCGUGGUUAAUACCCGUGGGGGAUGACGGUACCGGAAGAAUAAGCACCGGCUAACUACGUGCCAGCAGCCGCGGU